UGAGUGUAAACAAAGUUCACCAAAGGGGAU
rnacentral:piRNA from 1 species